GACGAACGCUGGCGGCGUGCUUAACACAUGCAAGUCGAACGGAAAGGCCCUGCUUUUGUGGGGUGCUCGAGUGGCGAACGGGUGAGUAAUACGUGAGUAACCUGCCCCUGACUUUGGGAUAACUUCAGGAAACUGGGGCUAAUACCGGAUAGGAGCUCCUGCUGCAUGGUGGGGGUUGGAAAGUUUCGGCGGUUGGGGAUGGACUCGCGGCUUAUCAGCUUGUUGGUGGGGUAGUGGCUUACCAAGGCUUUGACGGGUAGCCGGCCUGAGAGGGUGACCGGCCACAUUGGGACUGAGAUACGGCCCAGACUCCUACGGGAGGCAGCAGUGGGGAAUAUUGCACAAUGGGCGGAAGCCUGAUGCAGCAACGCCGCGUGCGGGAUGACGGCCUUCGGGUUGUAAACCGCUUUCGCCUGUGACGAAGCGUGAGUGACGGUAAUGGGUAAAGAAGCACCGGCUAACUACGUG
rnacentral:rRNA from 1 species